rnacentral:tRNA from 1 species
UUUCAGCAUUGUAGUUUAAAAAGAAUACGGGUUUUGGGGAUUUGAGGUCUUUUUAUGAGCAUGCUGAAAU